rnacentral:hammerhead_ribozyme from 1 species
GUUCAGCUAAUAUGUCUCAAAUAGGACGAAACGCGCGUCCUGGAU